ACGGGGACCCGCACAAGCAGCGGAGCGUGUGGUUUAAUCGUUGCUACACGAAGAACCUUACCUGGGUUUGACAUAUAGGUUGUAGGGAACUGAAAGGGACCGACCCUUCGGGAGCCUAUACAGGUGUUGCAUGGCUGUCGUCAGCUCGUGUCGUGAGAUGUUCGGUUAAGUCCGCUAACGAGCGCAACCCUCGUCGUAUGUUAUAUGUGUCAUACGAGACUGCCGGUAAAAGCCGGAGGAAGGUGAGGAUGAUGUCAAGUCAGCAUGACCUUUAUAUCCAGGGCUACACACACGCUACAAUGGUCCGUACAAUGGGUAGCCAAGCCGCGAGGCGGAGCCAAUCCUGAAAGCAGGCCUCAGUUCAGAUUGCAGUCUGCAACUCGACUGCAUGAAGCCGGAGUUGCUAGUAACCGCAGGUCAGCAAUACUGCGGUGAAUACGUUCCCGGGUCUU
rnacentral:rRNA from 1 species